AAUGGCUUCUAAUUACUUGGUUGACGAAAUAGAUUCAGAUAGCAUUCUUUUCUUUAUAAUUUGAUUCAAGUACAAGAUACAUCCAAAUCAUUUAAUUUAUUGCAUUUUAACGUGUUUAAUGAAAAUAAAAUGGCAAUGGACAUAAUAUUAGAUAAUACCCAGAAAAUAAAACAAAGAUAUACAAUGUUAAAUUCCUCCCUAUUAGGAAAAUAAUUAACUAAAACAAAUGUAGAUUUAAUUAGUUAUAGCUUUAACUAUAAAGAAAGAAAGUAGAUUGAGAUAGAGCAUUGAAACAUUGAAAGAGUGAUCGGCGACUGUGUGUCUAUUUAGUCUGUUUCAGUACACUGCUAAAGUUAUUACUCUUUCUUUUAACUCUUUGUCUACGUUGUUUUUUCCGCCUUUCAAUUUUCCUCCUUGAGUGAAUACUCCUACCAAUAUGUGAUCUUUGAAAAAUGAUAAAACGUUCUGGAUAAAAAAAAAAAAAUUGGACGAGCGAUAAAAUAAUCUAGAACAAUUUGAAGGUGAAUUCGUGAUUUGAACAUUUUUUCCCAAUCCUAAUUUAGUAUUUGGUGUUGAAAUUUAAUUUGGUGAAUAUACAUGUUGAU
rnacentral:lncRNA from 1 species